AUACUCUGGUUUCUCUUCAGAUUGUAUAAAUCUUUUGCCUUUUACUAAAAAUUUCCAUGGAGACAAACAGGCACAAGUGUCGAGAAUUUUUUUUUUCCUCAUUAACCACACAGGGU